rnacentral:lncRNA from 1 species
CUGGCAGACAGUGAAUAGCAGCCCCUGGGGAGUCAGGGAAGAGGGGGCAGUGAGCGGUAGCGGCAGGACUGAGAACACUCCAGUGGAUUAUUUCUCCAACCCUGGGCCCACUGGAGGUACAUGGCCUAACUUAUCAGUAUAUUUGAGAUGAAAAAUGUGGAGAGAAAUUUUUUUUUCAGAAGAGGAGCACACAAACUUGAAGCAAAUUUGCAAAGAUUUAUUCUGGUAUAGUAGGUAGUUUUGGGGUCAAAGUUAUAAACUGCCAGAAGUAGCCAUCCAAGGUACCAAUAGUUUGAAUAUAUUGCAGCUGAGCUGUGUAUAAGUCAACAAGUGAAACCAUCUGUCAGCAGAGGUGUACAGCUUAGUGUUUAACACCCCAGGUGUGUCCUAUUAGGUGUGAAGAGCCCCCUGAGCCUUGCACCCCGUGCGUGUGAUUCAGGAGCAAGGGUGUGUUUGUGGUUAGGCUGAGUUUUCCCAGUUUCGUCAUGAUAAAGCCAGCAGGUUUGAAUUUUGAGACACUACAAUUGUCAAGGAGGUCACAGCAGGAACAUCCCUUCUAUGCAUUCCAGGGUCCCCUGAACCAGCAUACGUGUGACUGGCAAAAUCCACAGCACUGCAUGGAAACACCACUACCAAGAAGCCCAUCAGGUUUGUUUUAGCAUUCAAACAGAAGCUGAAGACCAGAGAGUCCAGGUGGCAGGUGUUUGCUUCUAACCUGCAGGGGAAGAAAAGAAAAAUGAGAAGAAUUUAAUUUCCCUGCAAAAAUUGAGAGCAGCUGCUGCUUACUCUUUGAGCCUCCUUGCUGAAUGACUCACUAUGGGGUUGUCAUGGGGAAAGAUGGAAAGAUGAAUCAGAGUAAAGCAGCCCCUUGAAGAAGCACUGUUUGUGCCCACAUGCGCCAUGCUUUGUCAUAGCCUUUCCAUUCUCGCUACUGUCCCCUGCAG